rnacentral:lncRNA from 1 species
CCUCCAGAAUUUGGGCAGUGACGAGCACAAGAGGGAGGUUGAGGUGGGGCUAAGAGUGGCUCAGCACUGGCCUGAAGGCACUCCUCAGCUCGAACAGCCUCGGCAAUGUGGGCACAGCUAACCACAGUGCGUCUCUCUCAGCUGCUGAGAGCUGAACAGACGUUGGGAUGACCUGCCUGCAGAAAGGAGUUACCCACUGCAGUUCUCCUCUGAGCUGUACUGUUGCUCAAUAAAGCACCUCUUCACCUUGCUCACCUUCUACUUGCCCACAUACCUCAUUCUUCCUGGACUCAGGACAAGAACUCGGGACCUGCAAACUAGCAGGGCUGAAAGAGGUGUAACAUAAACAGGGCUGAAACGCCCCCCUUGCUUGCCAAAUUGCAGGCAAGAAGAAGAGAAGAGAGAAGGAGACAAGAGCUGUGGCCCUUCAGGGAGCCCAGACCUAGGAGCUCCCCAAGCCAGGGCUGUGAUGCCUUCUUUGGGGCUCUGCAGUUCCUGCAUCUCCAAGUUUCUGGGCGCCACUGCAUUCCCUGAUACACACAGUGGAAGCUGUUUGCAGUCGGUCUGGUCCAGCUGCAGCCUCACAGGGAGCUGGCACCUGUGCCUGUACCUGGAGCUGCCCACCUCACUGCAGCUGGCAUGCUUGGCUGUGUGCAGUGGCCAGAUCCCAUGCUUGCUUGCUCACACACCCUUCACUGCUCUGUACCCAGCUCACCCUUGGCAGGUGUGGGAUCCACACCACUAGCAUGAGCCGAGUGGACGGAACGAACCCAGUGGGCCCGAGCAAAACACAGAUUUUCAGAAAAUAUUAAAAAAUAAUGGGAGGAGGAGCCAAGAUGGCCGAAUAGGAACAGCUCAAGUCUACAGCUCCCAGCAUGAAUGACGCAGAAGACCGGUGAUUUCUGCAUUUCCAUUUGAGGUACUGGGUUCAUCUCACUAGGGAGUGCCAGACAGUGGGCGCAGGACAGUGGGUGAAGUGCACUGUGCACUAGCUGAAGCAGGGUGAGUCAUUGCCUCACUCAGGAAAGUGCAAGGGGUCAGGGAGUUAGCUCCCUUUCCUGGUCAAGGAAAGGGGUGACAGACAGCACCUGGAAAAUCGGGUCACUCCCACCCUAACACUGUGCUUUUCUGACGGGCUUAGGAAACGGCACACCAGGAGAUUAUAUCUGGCACCUGGCUCGGAGGUCCUACGCACACGGAGUCUCGCUGAUGGCUAACACAGCAGUAUGAGAUCAAACUGCAAGGCAGCAGCAAGGCUGGGGGAGGGGCACCGGCUAUUGCCCAGGCUCUCUUAGGUAAACAAAGCAGCCAGGAAGCUCGAACUGGGUGGAGCCCACCACAGCUCAAGGAGGCCGUCCUGCCUCUGCAGGCUCCACCUCUGGGG